GCGCUCCUGCCGCUCUCGUGUUUCGAUGGGGUAUUUUCUUGAGCCUUACAGUGUACCCUGGGGGCACAAUACCGAUGCCGUUGUGCAUGUCCGCUUCAUAGCGGAAAGCCUGAAGCCUCGGUGCCGCUCCCACUUGAACCCAACGGUUCAGGAACGAAGUCGAUAACGGCCCUGGUGGGAGCGCC
rnacentral:other from 1 species